GGCAGGCAGGAGCAGGGGAAGGCCGAGUGGUCGCUGCUCGGCGUGCCCGCGGCCCCUCCCAAUGCGCCUGCGCUUCCCCGGCUCCUAGCAACCGCCAGGCAGGAGCAGCAGAGGACCGAGCGGUCGUUGGUCUCCCCAAGGGAACCUGCACUUGAUGGAUCAGCUGGCACCACCCAGAUCAAUAAACUGGCUCAUCAGAUCUUGUGGCCCCUCACCCAGGAACUGAUAAGGGCAAGAAGACCGCUUUGACUCCCUAUGAUUUCAUCUCUGACCAAUCAGCACUCCUGGCUCACUGGCUUCCCCCCACCCAAGUUAUCCUUGAAAACUCUGAUCCCUGAAUGCUUCAAUGCUCAAGGAGAUGGAUUUGAGUAAUAAUAAAACUCUAGUCUCCUGCACAGCCA